rnacentral:rRNA from 1 species
UGCCAGCAGCCGCGGUAAUACGAAGGGGGCUAGCGUUGUUCGGAAUUACUGGGCGUAAAGCGCACGUAGGCUGAUUGUUAAGUCAGGGGUGAAAUCCCAGAGCUCAACUCUGGAACUGCCCUUGAUACUGGCAAUCUCGAGUCCGGAAGAGGUUAGUGGAAUUCCCAGUGUAGAGGUGAAAUUCGUAGAUAUUGGGAAGAACACCAGUGGCGAAGGCGGCUAACUGGUCCGGUACUGACGCUGAGGUGCGAAAGCGUGGGGAGCAAACAGGAUUAGAUA